GACGAACGCUGGCGGCGUGCUUAACACAUGCAAGUCGAGCGGGAAACUUCGGUUUCCAGCGGCGGACGGGUGAGUAACACGUGGGCAACCUGCCUCACAAUGAGGGAUAGCCUUCCGAAAGGAAGAUUAAUACCUCAUAACACAAGAGAAACGCAUGUUUCUUUUGCCAAAGAAUUUCGUUGUGAGAUGGGCCCGCGGCGCAUUAGCUUGUUGGUGAGGUAACGGCUCACCAAGACUUCGAUGCGUAGCCGACCUGAGAGGGUGAUCGGCCACAUUGGAACUGAGACACGGUCCAGACUCCUACGGGAGGCAGCAGUGGGGAAUAUUGCACAAUGGAGGAAACUCUGAUGCAGCAACGCCGCGUGAGUGAUGAAGGUCUUCGGAUUGUAAAGCUCUGUCUUCUGGGACGAUAAUGACGGUACCAGAGGAGGAAGCCAUGGCUAACUACGUGCCAGCCGCCGCAGUAA
rnacentral:rRNA from 1 species